CCAUGGCUGUUUCUCUACCUGUUCUUCAAUCCUGCUUGCCCUAUGCAUGUCCUCCUCGACGGCCCCAGCUCCAUGUAUCAGCACUGGUCAUCCUGGUCAUCCUGAAUCAGAAGACACCUGCUCAUGCUUUUCUGUGAAGAGAAGAAAAGAUGAAGACACAUGCUCAGAGGAACAUCAACUUGAAAAUUAUGUGGCAUUAUGGAAUCUGGGUGAAGAUUGGGCCAUUGGAUUAUUUGGAACAGAAGGGAGUUGGAAGAGGGAUCAUGUAUACCCCAGAGAGAUUCUCUUCUUAUGGUACCGGAAUAACAUUGAGCAACACUAAGUACCUGGUGUUGUCAAGUUCAGAGGGACCUCCAUGUGAGAUACCGAAUUGUCAUGGUUGACAAAGGGACGUUGAACAUCAGUAACGCCUGAGGUCAAUUCUGUCCAGUGCAUUCUCCUUCCAAUGUGACUACAAUACAAGAAAUACCAUCAUUAGAGCUGAUUCCAAGAACAUGAUGUUAACAUAUUGAAUUGUAUUAGCUUAGAUUUGGAAGAGUUCCUGUAGUGAAGUUAAACCUGUGAUCCAGUUUAGAAAACUAUUUCACUAUCAUUAUAUAAAACCUUAGUUUGAACCUG
rnacentral:lncRNA from 12 species